rnacentral:misc_RNA from 1 species
UCUCCGUAGGUGAACCUGCGGAGGGAUCACUACAGAGUUCAUGCCCUACCGGGUAGAUCUCCCACCCUAUGUUAUUAUUACUUUGUUGCUUUGGCGGGCCGUUAGGCUCCGGCCCGACUACCGGCCCCGGCUGGUAAGCGCCCGCCAGAGGACCCAAAACCCUGAAUAUUAGUGUCGUCUGAGUACUAUAUAAUAGUUAAAACUUUCGACAACGGAUCUCUUGGUUCUG